rnacentral:rRNA from 1 species
AGUCGAGAAUUUUUCUCAAUGGGCGAAAGCCUGAAGGAGCGACGCCGCGUGGGGGAUGAAUGGCUUCGGCCCGUAAACCCCUGUCAUUUGCGAACAAAUUAUUUUACUUAAUACGUGAAGUAUUGAUUGUAGCGGAAGAGGAAGGGACGGCUAACUCUGUGCCAGCAGCCGCGGUAAUACAGAGGUCCCAAGCGUUGUUCGGAUUUACUGGGCGUAAAGGGUGCGUAGGCGGUCGGGUAAGUUUGACGUGAAAUCUCCAAGCUCAACUUGGAAACUGCGUUGGAUACUAUCCGGCUCGAGGAAUGGAGGGGAGACUGGAAUACUUGGUGUAGCAGUGAAAUGCGUAGAUAUCAAGUGGAACACCAGUGGCGAAGGCGAGUCUCUGGACAUUUCCUGACGCUGAGGCACGAAAGCCAGGGGAGCAAA